rnacentral:lncRNA from 1 species
CAGCAGAAUGCAUUACAAUUCUUAUAACACAUAUCAGCACAAUUUUUCAUAUCUUUAUAUAUAUGUUCACACUAAUUCAUGCCUUUAUACAUGUACUUUGUGGUUUUUUGCAUUACAAUUCGUAUUACACAUACAUACCACAUUUUUUCAUAUAUCUGUUUAUAUAUAAAGUAUGUUGACACCCAAUUCAAGUCUUCAUACAUGUACUUUGGAUAAUGAUGUCCAUCACAUUUCACCACCCUUGCUGAUCUCCUUCCCUUUCCUUUUACCUCCCACACAUCUUCGCUAUCUAGAAUUCACCUAAUAACAAUAAUUCUUGAUGUCACAAUGUUAGCUGAAGGUGGAAACCCUGUAUUUGAGGAAUGGACAGAUCAUCCAGGGCAUGACAGUUGUUUAAAAAGGUUUGUGUGGGUAUUAAAUCUCACAUUUUUUAUCUAUUCAUCUGUUAAAGAACACCUAAAUUGGUUGAGCUGCUCUAUACAUUGAUGUGGUUCUGUCAUUGUUGAUGCUGAUUUUAAGUUCUUUGAUUAUAUACCGAGAAGGGCAAUAAUUGGGUAAAAUGAUGGUUCCAUUCUAAGUUUUGAGAAGUCUCCAUAUAGCUUUCCAAAGGUUGCAGUUGCACCAGCAAUGUAUGAGUGUACCUUUUACCCCACAUCUUUGCCAACAUAGAUUGUUGCUUGUAUUCCUAAAAAUUGCAUUUCUGACUGGGGUGAGAUGAAACCUCAGUGUAUUUUUGAUUUGCAUUUCUCUAAUUGCUGAAGAUAUUGUACGUAUAUUUAUAUAUUUGUUGAUCACAUGUAUUUCUUCUGUGAAGUGUCUGUUCAGCUCCUUAGUCCUCUUAAUGACUGGAUUAUUUAGAUUCUUGGUGUUACGUUCUUUGAGUUCUUUCUAUAUCCUGGAGAUUAAUGCUUUACCAGAGUUUCAGAUGGAAAUAUUUUCUCCCAUUCUGUCAGCUUUCUGUUCAUGUUCUUUUCUCCUUUGUUAUGAAAAAGAUUUUUACUUUUAUUUCAUCUCAUUUAUUGAUUCUUGAUAAUACUUCUUGUGCUUUAGGAGUCUUGUUAAGGAAAUUAGUUCCUAAGCUGAUAUGAUAUAGAUAUGGGACUACUUUUUUUUUUUCUAUUAGGCACUGUAUUCUAGUGCCUAGGUCCUUGAUCCACUUUGAGUUGAUUUUGUGCAGUGAGAGAGAUAGAGGUUAAAUUCAUUUUGCUAAAUAUGGAUUUUCAGUUUUCCGAGUACCAUUUGUUGAAGGGGUUAUCUUUUCUCCAAUGUAUGUUUCUGACACCUUUGUCUAGUAUAAGGUAACUGUAUUUAUAUGCAUUUUUCUCUGUGUCUUCUAUUCUUUGCCAUUGGUCUAUGUAUCUAUUUUGCUGCCAAUUCCAUUCUGGUGUUUGUUACUAUGGCCCUGUAGUAUAAUUUUAAGGUCUGGUUUUGUGAUGCUGCCUGCUUCCCUUUUCUUGCUAAAGAUUGUUUUGGCUAUUCUAGGUCUCUUAAUUUUCCAAAUAAAAAAUUAAUGAAGUAACAUUUUUAUAGCUUUAUUUUAUUCAUUUAUUUUUAAUGUGGUGCUG